AUGCGGGCAAAGCUUUGGAUGGGAUUUGCUCCCUUCCUUUCAAAGCGUUACAUCUCCACCUGCGGGACAUCGUCGCUACCUCCAUCUUCAUCGAGCUUGGUAAUACAACCAUGGCUUUUUAUUGGUCUCGGUAACCCCGGUGAGAAGUACCAAUCCACCAGACACAAUGUUGGAUUUGAUAUGAUAGAUGCAUUUGCAGUGUCUCAGGGCAUAUCCCUGACAACGCAUCAUUUCAAAGCACUAUUUGGUGAAGGGGUGGUAGAUGGUGUCCCUGUUUUGCUUGCCAAGCCUCAAACAUACAUAAAUCUGAGUGGUGAAUCUGUAAGCAAACAGUUUUGGAAGACUUCUUCAAAUUUUAUACUAUACAUUUUUCAUGCGAUGCGGUUCAUUUUAACUGGCUUGACUGUGAACCACGACAGCAUGUUAAAUCCUUGUGACGCUGACACCCCUCUGUUUUUCCUUUUCUUAUUACGGGCUGGUGCAUUUGCUGCCUAUUAUAAACUGCCACUUCACCGUGUCAUAGUGGCAUAUGAUGACACGGACCUGCCAUGUGGAGUUCUCCGUUUACAACCUAAAGGAGGAUAUGGACGUCACAAUGGGUUGAAGAGUGUGAUCUACCAUUUUCGCAAGAACCGGGAAUUUGGUCGAUUAAGGAUUGGAAUUGGACGACCUCCUGGUCAGAUGGAUCCCAAAGCUUUUGUGCUUCAGAAAUUCAAUAAGACUGGUCGGGAACGGAUUGAUUCGGCCAUAAAAGAGGGUUGUGACAUUCUGAAGAUGGUGGUGACCAAGGGCUUGACGGAGGCGGCGAGAGCGUCAAAUGUGGAUCAGAAGUACAAGCAUCUGGUCUCACAUGACCAGCAGUCGUAA
rnacentral:rRNA from 1 species